UACGUAGGGUGCAAGCGUUAAUCGGAAUUACUGGGCGUAAAGCGUGCGCAGGCGGCUAUGCAAGACAGAUGUGAAAUCCCCGGGCUCAACCUGGGAAUUGCGAUGGAGACUGCAAGGCUAGAAUCUGGCAGAGGGGGGUAGAAUUCCACGUGUAGCAGUGAAAUGCGUAGAGAUGUGGAGGAACACCGAUGGCGAAGGCAGCCCCCUGGGUCAAGAUUGACGCUCAUGCACGAAAGCGUGGGGAGCGAACAGG
rnacentral:rRNA from 1 species